GCAUUUGUUAUGGUUAGAAAGAAACGGGAAAAGGGUCUCGCAGGGGGGUUAAAGUUUAUGCACUAAUGAUUAGUUAAAUUAUGCACUCUAGUUUCAAUAGGUUCCUAACAAAAGAAUUCUGUUAUAUGCACUAGUGGGAACCUAAUCAUUUUAAGUUGAUUAACAUUGCACGGGAUAAACAGUUAAUCACAUGAAUCAAUUAGCGUAACGGAAUUUUAAAUUAAACUUCCUAUUUCAAUAACAUGAACAAUGAUUAACCUACCUAAAAUAAAGUAACUAGGAUCACAGAAAGUAAAUAAAAUAAAAAAUAAAAAAAUAAAAAAACAGAGGGGGGCGGUUGAACCGGCCCUAGGGGCGGUUGAACCGGCCCUACGCAGGGGGCGCGGCCAGGGCGGGCGGCCGAGGGCGGGCUGGGGGCGGCCGGGACCGGCCAGGGCGCGGCAGCGGCCGGCUGGGGCGCGGCCAGGGCGGCCAGCGACCGGCUGGGGGCGGCCAGCGGGGGCUGGGGCGCGCGGCCAGGGGCGGCCGGCGGCCACGGCGCGGCCGGGCGGCUGGGCUGCCAAGGGGAGGGAGGAGGGGAGAAGGGAGAGGGAGGGAGGAGGGAGAGAGGGAGGAGGGGGGGCUCACCGGCGGGGGCGGUCGACGGCGAGGGGCGGCCGGCAGCGAGGGCGACGGCGCUAGGGCAGGGGGCGGGUAGGGGCGGCGGCGGCUUAGGGUGGGGGAGAGAAAAUGAGAGAAAAUGAGAGGGAGAGGGAGAGGGUUUGGGGAAAAAAAGGGGAAUGAGGGGGGGCGGCUGGGCCUUUUUGGGCCCAAGAGGGGGCGCCAGGGGCGGCUGGGCCGACCGGGGUCGGCCCACGGCGCGGGAGAGAGAGAGAAAAAGAGGAGAGAGAAAGAGAGAGAAAAAAAGAAAGAAAAGAUCUUCUCCUCAUUUUCGAAAUCCGAUCUUUCUACAUGAAUGCAUUUGCACUUUCAAAGCAAUCAAAAGAAAUGCAAGGUUCGACAUGGUGCAUCAAACAACGUAAAGUAUUUAGGGUUUUUCUUACACGGGAAUUCCAAACCGAAUCCCGCUAGAACUUUGGAAAAGGUCAAGGUUUAGCGAAGGGAAAAAGAAAAAGAAAAGGUAACCCCCGAAUUUUGGCGAGUAAAGAAAAGAAAAAAAUUCAACUGCAAAAUUCGGGGCGUUACAAACCUAUCCCCCUUAAAAGAAUCUCGCCCUCGAGAUUCAGGGCUGGCUAGCAAAGAGCUCUGGGUACUUGGCCAUCAGAUCAUCUUCACGCUCCCAGGUUGCUUCUUCCUCAGAGUGGUGAUUCCAUCUGACUUUGCACAUUCUGAUGGUCUUCCUCCGGGUGACUCUAUCUGCAAUCUCAAGGAUCUGAGCUGGCUUCUCAACGUAGGUCAAGUCCUCCUGGACUUCCAGACCUUCCACUGGCAACUGCUCUUCUGGCACACGCAAGCACUUCUUCAACUGAGACACAUGAAAGACAUUAUGCACAGCAGACAAAUUCUCUGGCAGGCUGAGCUGAUAAGCCACUUCUCCACGCUUUGAGAGGAUCUGGUACGGACCAAUGUAGCGGGGUGCUAGCUUGCCUUUCACUCCGAAUCUUCUGACUCCUCUGAUCGGUGACACUUUCAGAUAGACAAAGUCUCCGACUUCAAAACUCAGCUCUCUUCUUCUUGUGUCUGCAUAGCUUCGCUGCCUCGAUUGCGCUAUCUUCAGAUUCCCUCGGACCAUCUUGAUGUUUUCUUCGGCUUCAAGCAAAAUGUCUGGCCCAAACACUUGCUUUUCUCCAGGCUGAUCCCAUUGCAACGGAGUUCUACAACUCCUUCCAUAAAGCGCCUGAAACGGUGACAUCUUCAAACUGGCCUGGUAACUGUUGUUAUAGGAAAACUCUGCAUAAGGCAAUCGCUUGUCCCAUCCAGACUGAUCUUGCAACGCACAGGCUCUCAACAUAUCUUCGAGAAUUUGAUUGGUCCUUUCAGUCUGGCCAUCUGUCUGCGGGUGAUAAGCUGAACUGAAAUUCAGAUGUGUGCCCAAGGCUUCAUGCAACUGCUGCCAGAAAUGAGAGGUGAACUGCGUUCCUCUGUCUGACACUAUCUUCUUUGGCACACCAUGAAGACAAACGAUCCGAGACAUAUACAACUCUGCCAAUACUGCACUGUUGUAGUUGGUCUUGACAGGUAUGAAGUGGGCUGACUUGGUCAAACGGUCCACUACUACCCAAAUGGAAUCGUAGCCGGCUCGAGUGCGAGGCAAUCCGACUAUGAAAUCCAUACCAAUUUCAUCCCAUUUCCACUGAGGGAUCUGCAACGGUUGCAACAAUCCAGCAGGUCUCUGGUGCUCUGCCUUAAUUCUUCGGCAACUAUCGCACAUAGCCACAUGCUCUGCGAUUUCCCUCUUCAUUCCAUACCACCAGAAUUUCCUCUUCAGAUCCUGAUACAUCUUCUCACUACCAGGGUGAAUCGAAUAGGCUGUCUCAUGAGCUUCCUUAAGAAUCAACUCCCGAAUAGACUGGACAUUGGGAACACACAAGCGGUCUUUGAACCAUAUCACGCCUUCUGCAUCUUCUCGAAAAUCUUUGCCUUUGCCUUCUAGAAUCAAUCGCCGAAUCUCACUGAUUUUCUCAUCAUUCGUCUGCGCUUCUUUGAUUUCGCGCUCCAAGGUAGGUUCCAACUCAACUAUGACUCCUCGCGAAUUAUUCAGAAAUCCGAGACUCAACCUGUCAAACUCCUUGGCCAACUCAUAAGGCAUCGGACGAGCGACCAUCAGAUUGACUUGACUCUUUCUGCUCAAAGCAUCUGCCACUAUGUUUGCUUUGCCUGGAUGGUAAUGAAUCUCCAACUCAUAGUCUUUGAUCAACUCUAACCAUCUUCGUUGCCUCAUGUUCAACUCUGACUGAGUGAAUAUGUACUUCAGACUCUUGUGGUCUGUGUAAACAUUGCAUUUCUGUCCAUACAGAUAGUGCCUCCAUGACUUCAGCGCGUGAACCACUGCUGCCAACUCUAGAUCAUGGAUUGGGUAGUUCUUCUCAUGAACCUUCAGCUGUCGGGACGAGUAAGCCACAACUCUUCCUCUUGCAUCAACACACAUCCCAAACCUGUGUAACAAGCAUCGCAAUACAUCGAGAAGGGCUUGUGCACAUCGGGCAAGACUAGGACAGGCGCUGUAGUCAACUUCUCUUUCAGCGCUUCAAAGGCCUCUUGACAUUUCUGGGUCCACUUGAACUCAACUUUGUUGCCUAGCAACGCUGUCAUUGGUUUUGCAAUCUUCGAAAACCCUUCAAUGAAUCGCUGAUAAUAUCCGGCCAUUCCAAUGAAACUCUUGAUUCCUCGAGCAUCCAUUGGCGCUUUCCAGUUCAGAAUGUCUGCCACUUUCUUCGGAUCCACAGUCAAUCCUUUUUUGUUGAUUAUGUGACCCAAGAACAGGACUUCACUGAUCCAGAACUCACACUUGCUCAACUUUGCAUACAACUGGUGCUCUCGCAAUCUCUGCAACACCAUCCUCAAAUGAUCUGCAUGCUCUUCUUCGCUUUGAGAAUAAAUUAGAAUGUCAUCAAUGAAUACCACCACAAACUUAUCAAGAUAAUCCAUGAAUACACUGUUCAUCAGAUUCAUGAAGAACGCUGGUGCAUUGGUCAAACCAAAAGACAUCACUGUGAACUCAUACAAACCAUACUUGGUAAUGAAUGCCGUCUUCGGAAUGUCCGAAGGUCGGAUCCUGAGCUGAUGAUAACCUGACCUCAGAUCAAUCUUGGAGAACACACUGGCUCGUCUCAACUGGUCGAACAGAUCUUCAAUCCUGGGCAAAGGAUACUUGUUCUUGAUCGUGACCUCAUUCAAAGCUCGGUAAUCAAUACACAUCCUCUUGGUGCCAUCUUUCUUCUCCACAAAUAGGACAGGGGCGGCCCAAGGCGAGGUGCUUGGCCGAAUGUAACCUUUCUCUGACAACUCAUCAAUCUGCUUCUUAAGCUCAACCAACUCUGGUCCAGAUAUUCUGUAAGCUCUCUUGAAGAUAGGGGCGAUUCCAGGAAGAAGCUCUAUGGCAAACUCAACUUUCCGCUCUGGUGGCAUACCCGGUAAGUCUUUCGGAAACACAUCUGGGAACUCGGACACAACCUUGAUACUCUCGAUCGGGUCUGCUUCACUGCUAUCAACAGCCAUCUGAUAACAACUUCCUUUCUUUGGCUCAGGCGGGACUAACUCGGUCACCACUUCCUCUCCUAGUGGGGACACCAACUUGAUGGUCCUUUUAUCACAACUGAUAACUGUCUGAUACUUAUCUAGCCAAUUCAUCCCUAGGAUGACAUCUAUUCCCUGAGUACCCAUUACUAUAAGGUUGGCGGGAAAUGCUAUCCCCCUUAUUUCCACACUUAUAUUCAAACAAAUGCUAUCGGCUCGAAUUCUACCACCGGCUGAGUCAAUUUGAAUGGGGGUUGACAUGGUAGUAAUUGGAAGAUUAUGUGCUUCUACCCAUGAUGCAGUAAUGAAAGAAUGCGUUGCUCCAGUAUCAAAUAACACUUCUGCAAUAUGGGAGUCGACUGGGAACAUACCUACUAUCAUGCCGGGGGUCUCCUGAACUGCUUCAGCCUCCAAGUGAUUCAGUCUUCCAUGAUUAUAACGCGGCUGAGGGCGAUUGCCUGCUCCAGGCUGAGGCACAUUCUGCUUUGCUAGGGCAUUGGGGCCUGACUGCUGCUGGGCUGCCUUCUUCGGACAUUGCAUCACCCAGUGGCCUUGCUCUCCACAGUGGAAACAUGCUCUGUUUCCAACCUGAGCUGGUGCUGCCUGAUUGUUCUGCUGGUUUGCUGGGGCAGGAAGACGAGGUGCCUGCUGAUUCUGCCUCGGAAACUGACCUCCUGACUGAUUGCUCUGACGGUUCUGGUACUGAUUCUGAGGAUACUGCCUUUGGAAUUGCUGAUGCUGAGGUGGACGCUGGUUCUGUCUAAACUGCUGAGGUUGAUUGCCUGAGAAACGAGGACGACUGCUGCUUCCAGGCUGGGGUCCACUGAUCUUGCGCUUACGAUCUUCCAUCUCCUUCCUCUUUCUCUCUGUCAUGAUUGCUCUGUCAAUCAGGUGCUGGAAUGUCGGGAAGGUGUGGUUCAUCAGCUGAUACUGCAGAGGGUCAACCAAGCCUCUCAGAAAACGGUAUUGUCGCUUGGCGUCGGUGUUGACAUCUUCAGGAGCAUAGCGAGACAAUUGCAGAAACCUAUCUCGAUACUCACUGACAGAUGAUGACCCUUGCUUGAGGGCCAGGAACUCCUCCUUCUUCACUGUCAUCAGACCUGCAGGGACAUGGUACUGACGAAAGCUACCUCUGAAUUCUUCCGAAGUGAUGGCGUCAGGAUGGGCAUGGGUGGCGAGGUAAGACUCCCACCAUGACUGGGCUGCUCCUCUCAAUAGACGGGACCAUACAGAACCUUCUCCCUAUCAUCGCACUGAGCGGUAGGCAACUCCCGCUCCAUAGUGCGCAGCCAAUCUUCAGCAUCCAUAGGGUCAGAAGAAUGAGCAAACGUUGGUGGAUGACCUCUCAUGAAUUCAGCACGCUUGUCUCUGGGCAUCUGAGGCAUCUGAGGCUGGGUGGUGCUUGCUGCUGUUGCUAUUGCUGCUGCUGAAUGGCGGCCAGAGUCUGACCGAUGGCCUGAACUGCCUGAGUUUGCAUCAGAAACAUCUGCUCGAUCGACAUCGGGGGCGGGGGCGGCAGGUGCUGCUGCUGGGGCACCUCAUCCUGCAGAGCGGCUCGCUCCUGUUGAGCACGCCUUCUCCUCUGCGCCUGUUCUCUGACAUCUGCAGAAUGCAACCACACAUCAGAACUGAUCUGGCAAAUCUUGCAGCAUAAGGAAAGAGAAUAGAAUUCUUCAACAGCACUGAACAGAUGAGCAUCUUCACUGAUCUCCAACACAGACCACACAGCUUCUCAGAUAAAGAGGAAAGUGGAAUAAAAGGUUUCCCAACUAUGUAACUAACUUUAUUAACAUAAUAUGUAAACCAAAAUGCAGGGAUACCCACACUCUGGUGACAAUCAUUACAAAGAUCCAAACCAAACAUAGUUCAUCAUGACAAACAUAAAUGCACAGGAUAUAGCAAACUACCCUGUCUAACUAAGACUAACUAAGACCGAGAUUAACGCUAAGACUGAAGCUUCUACGUAUAUAUAUUUCGUAUUAAUUACAAGAUCCAACUCUAACGAUCUAUGGUUCUAGAGUUAUCUUGGUCUUGCAGGCGGAAUUGCCAUAAGACUGGUGUCCACGCUGAGGUGAGCGGUACGGGUGCUGAGUCCCAACGGGAGCGGGGGAACCACCAUCCAAAUAACGACGUUCCGCGCGCUCAGCCCGCAGCAGGGCGAUCUCAGCACGAGCCCUACUCAGCUCGUCUAAUGCAUGGUCCAGCUCCGUGUUUAGCACGGCGGCUAGGUUGACUGUGCUGCUCAACCUAGGAUUGCCUCACCGACGGGUGAGACAAUCACGCCUCCUGUGCUGCCAGAUGGACGGCGGGGGUAAUACUUCAGGUCAAGACCGUCAGCUGCCCCACCGAAAACCGAGCAGUAGUGCGAAAGCGCACGCCGUGCAGCAUCUUGCAUGGCUGCCUCAGCUGAGUCCCGCUCAGAGAUAGAAUAGUGCUCUGAACAGGCCUCUGCACCCUGGAGACUGUCCUCGGGCAGCGCACCAAGCAAGUCGCCUCCCAGCGGUCCGGGUAGACCCCGCGACUAUGCUGGUAGACCACACAGCGAUACUCGACGGACCAAGUAUGCCGGUCAAAUGCCCGACGUAGCAGGGUGUCGAGCGCAUCGUGGAAGUGACACCCGCGAGCAGCGUCGCGAGUGAUGGGUCGAGCAACCCAUCCUUCCGGCUCAGGGUUAGCAGAGAAGUCGGUGUCGUGGCUCGAGCUGUCGUCGCCAUCUCCGUCGUCUGGGUCUCCUCCAGCAGCUACUCCAGAAGCUGGGGCGCCCAGUGGUGAUGCAGGGGGCGGCUCCAGAGGAAGCACAGGGGAGCAGCUCCUCACAGACUCUAUCUCCUGGUGGAGCGAGAAGGAAGAGCCCUGCUGCUCCUGUCGUCGACGUUCCUGCUCCUCACGCAGGCGGUGGUGUAGUCUCUCCAAGUGGCUGGACUGUCCAGCCACGGGACGGCGAAGCGGACGCUCAGCAAGGCGGGAGGGUAAGAAGGGGAUGACUGACUUUCGUGCAGUGUGUCUAAGUCGAGCCAUCUACAAAAGACAUCGCAAGCAGAAGGGUGAGAACAGAAUUAAUAUGACCAGCAAGUAAUAAGUAAAUGAAGGAUCAGAAUGAAACACAAUUUUUUAGCAAGGUAUAAUAUAUAGUAAAACAUAGGUUUGGUCGGUAUGACCAACUUUUGAAGGGAUAUCAAAGUCAAGGCAGAGACAGAGGUCUAUAGUCCUUAGAACGACCAUUCUACUCUAGGUUAGCGGUCCUACAGUCAGCACGGCUCUGAUACCACUUAUGUCACACCCGGUUUCAGAAGGCAAACCGAAUGCGAACCAUGUACGUGCCAGGAUCAGUUAUUCACGUACACAGCAGUUACAUAACAUGGACAUCAUCACACAGUGCUCAAAAUAGUAUUAAGAAGGGAAAUAGUCGAUUACAUCAUACGUCUGAGACGUCCAUAUAGUUCUUACAAUAAAUCAAAGUGCGGAAAAAAACGUAGAUAACGCGGCCUUCACAGGCAGCCGACUGGGGGGUUGCCGCUAACCCACACCUAGAACUCGUCGUAAUCUUGGAACUCCUGAAAGUCUCCUUCCACAGCUUCAUCUUCGCCUGAGCAGUGGUUGCAAUGCUGACAACCUGGGGGGGGGGGGGUUUGGUGUGUAGAGCAAGGGUGAGUACACAUCAACAUACUCAGCAAGUAUCCUGUUUGGCUGUAGUGGACUAGCUUUAUGUGGGGAUAAGUCAAGCAGUUGCUUUUAGUUGGUCAGAUUAUUACUUACUAGUAGAAAGCCAAGUUUUAGCAUUAACCCAGUUAUUAACCCGAUGUACCCUUUUCCAAACGGAAAGAUACCACUUACCAGUACCAUAGUCAUAACCAAACCAUCAAUCUCAUUGCCACCUGUACCAAAGUAUCUCUGAUCAGUACCACUAAUCACUGGAGCUCCCUUGGCCGCUCAUAACCGCGAGCACGGCUGAUAUAUCAGUUUUCAAACACUCUGCAGAGGUUGUGCACUUUACCCACAAGCCGUGAUUCCCUCUUGCCUCGGGCCGAUCAAACCCUUAACACUACCAAGGUGAAUAGGCAGGGUUUCACUACGUAGCCUUUACAAGAUUCCCCGGGGCUGUAGCCGCCCGUUAGGUUUCCUAAAUGUACCGCACUCCUCCCCAAGGGACAAAUCAACCUUGGCAGAGCGAGCCGCAUACACCGAGCCCCAUUGACGGCACGACGGCGAAGCGAACUACACCCCGGAUCCUCUAAUUAUUCAGCUAAGGGCACCCCAUUCCACCCUCAUGGUUGCACUGUUUUCCCGGGCGGUCAUCCAUAGAACAGGUCCUUACGGAGAGGCACUCGAGAAACCGCUCGAGCCCCUUAAACACAAGUACAACAUCAUAUAAGAGAAGNNNNNNNNNNNNNNNNNNNNNNNNNNNNNNNNNNNNNNNNNNNNNNNNNNNNNNNNNNNNNNNNNNNNNNNNNNNNNNNNNNNNNNNNNNNNNNNNNNNNCCGGUUUAGAAGGCAACCGAAUGCGAACCAUUACGUGCCAGGAUCAGUUAUUCACGUACACAGCAGUUACAUAAUAUGGACAUCAUCACACAGUGCUCAAAAUAGUAUUUAAUAAGGGAAAUAGUCGAUUACAUCAUACGUCUGAGACGUCCAUAUAGUUCUUACAAUAAAUCUUUCAAAGGCAAACCGAAUGCGAACCAUGUACGUGCCAGGAUCAGUUAUUCACGUACACAGCAGUUACAUAACAUGGACAUCAUCACACAGUGCUCAAAAUAGUAUUAAGAAGGGAAUAGUCGAUUACAUCAUACGUCUGAGACGUCCAUAUAGUUCUUACAAUAAAUCAAAGUGCGGAAAAGAACGUAGAUAACGCGGCCUUCACAGGCAGCCGACUGGGGGGUUGCCGCUAACCCACACCUAGAACUCGUCGUAAUCUUGGAACUCCUGAAAGUCUCCUUCCACAGCUUCAUCUUCGCCUGAGCAGUGGUUGCAAUGUUGACAACCUGGGGGGGGUUUGGUGUGUAGAGCAAGGGUGAGUACACAUCAACAUACUCAGCAAGUAUCCUGUUUGGCUGUAGUGGACUAGCUUUAUGUGGGGAUAAGUCAAGCAGUUGCUUUUAGUUGGUCAGUUAUUACUUACUAGUAGAAAGCCAAGUUUUAGCAUUACCCAAGUUAUUAACCGAUGUACCCUUUCCAAACGGAAAGAUACCACUUACCAGCACCAUAGUCAUAACCAAAACCAUCAAUCUCAUUGCCACCUGUACCAAAGUAUCUCUGAUCAAGUACCACUAAUCACUGGAGCUCCCUUGGCCGCUCAUAACCGCGAGCACGACUGAUAUAUCAGUUUUCAAACACUCUGCAGAGGUUGUGCACUUUACCCACAAGCCUUGAUUCCCUCUUGCCUCGGGCCGAUCAACCCUUAAACACUACCAAGGUGAAUAGGCAGGGUUUCACUACGUAGCCUUUACAAGAUUCCCCGGGGCUGUAGCGCCCGUUAGGUUUCCUAAAUGUACCGCACUCCUCCCCAAGGGACAAUCAACCUUGGCAGAGCGAGCCGCUACACCGAGCCCCAUUGACGGCACGACGGCGAAGCGAACUACACCCCGGAUCCUCUAAUUAUUCAGCUAAGUGCACCCCAUUCCACCCUCAUGGUUGCACUGUUUUCCAGGGCGGUCAUCCAUAGAACAGGUCCUUACGGAGAGGCACUCGAGAAACCGCUCGAGCCCCCUUAAAGCCACAAGUACAACAUCAUCAUAAGAGAAGGGAAAACAGCGUAUCAUAGAUAAUCUCAUCAUGUUCAUUGAUUAAAGUUGAGCAAUAGCAUCAAACUAAGCAGUAAUAAUCCAACCCAGAUAGGUAAACAAGGACAUGGAUAACAAAAGCUAGUCAAUCCUUAGGCAUAAAUGUGUAAGCAGGAGGUGAAUUAAAGAAUGAUUAGGACAGAGAUAGGUCAAAGGACACUUGCCUCCACAAACGACUGCUGCUCAGGGGCUUCUCCUGCGAAUUCCUCGGGCUCUUCGACCGGAUCGUUCUCUAUGCGAUUGCAAACAUACAUACAUCCAUCCACAUAUUUAAUACAAAAGAACAGUACACCAUACAAGAUGACAAUAAAGUGAAUAUGCAUCAAGUAUGACAUUCGAUAUCGCAUUUGUUAUGGUUAGAAAGAACGGGAAAAGGGUCUCGCAGGGGGGUUAAAGUUUAUGCACUAAUGAUUAGUUAAAUUAUGCACUCUAGUUUCAAUAGGUUCCUAACAAAAGAUUCUGUUAUAUGCACUAGUGGGAACCUAAUCAUUUUAAGUUGAUUAACAUUGCACGGGAUAAACAGUUAAUCACAUGAAUCAAUUAGCGUAACGGAAUUUUAAAUUAAACUUCCUAUUUCAAUAACAUGAACAAUGAUUAACCUACCU
rnacentral:lncRNA from 1 species